rnacentral:antisense_RNA from 1 species
AUCUCGGUGAUAGACCCAGGAAGUCAGUGGCUGGGCGGGGCGGGCUGUGAGGACUGAGGUCUGCAGCGAAGGUCCAGCCCCGUGGUCUUCGCUUCGUUCGGCAACGAACGCCCAGCGAAGGGACAUCCCUGUAGAAGUUCUGCUGCGUGUGGUCCAGCCGUCCCCACUCCUCCCGGGAGAGGUACAAGGCUACAUCCUCGAAAGUCACUGGCAUCUGAAACAAUGUGAAACAUCCACUCUCCAGGACAUGAUGUGGACACGGUGGAGGGACACCAUGGCAUGAGAUGUGUGGUGAGACCCCGGAGUCCCAACCCACUAUCUCGAGUGAGGCCUGCCACUUCCAUCUGAUGGGGAAGCGGGUGAGCCACCCAAGGCCUUCUGGGGAGUUGAGAAAGAACAAAGACCAAGAGGUAUUUUCAGGGACCACAGUUAAGACUUAGGAUGUCCAUGCAGCCCCCAUCCUCAGCUGAGACCUCGGAGGACGGUUCCCAAUGGCUCCCAGUGAGAGGCCCUGUGUCUCUAAUUCCUGCUGCUUCUCCUCCAGCUUUGGCCCAGGCCUGACCAUGGGCCUUGAGCCUGGACAAUUCCAGCAACACUAG